rnacentral:rRNA from 1 species
CCGUGGUAUUUUGACCGUGCUAAGGUAGCAAAAUCAUUAGUUUUUCAAUUGAAAACUGGAAUGAAGGGUUAGAUAAGGAAAUAACUGUCUUUAUUUGAAUUUAUUCGAAUUUUAUUUUUGAGUUAAAAAGUUUAAUUGUUAUUGAAAGACGAGAAGACCCUAUAGAGUUUGAUUAUAAAUAAAUUUUUUAUUUUAGUAUUUAUUUAUUAAUAUUUUUAAUCAUUUAAUUGGGGUGAUUAACAACACUUUUUUUGUAUCCUACCAUUAAUUUAUGAAUUAUUGAUCCAAUUAUUUUGAUUUUAAGAUAAAAUUACCCUAGGGAUAACAGCGUAAUUUUUUUAKAAAGUU